rnacentral:tRNA from 1 species
GGGCGGUUAGCUCAGCGGUAGAGCNNUCGAAGAAGUCAGAGGUUCAAAUCCUCUACCGCCCACCA